CAGUAAGGCAAAUAAGCAAGGUAAAUUAGUAAGGCAAAUCAGUAAGGUAAAGCCAGCAAGAUAAAUUCAAUAAGGUAAAUCAGUAAGGUAAGUCCAUAAGGUAAAUCAGUAAGGUAAGUCCAUAAGGUAAAUCAGUAAGGUAAGUCCAUAAGGUAAAUCAGUAAGGUAAGUCCAUAAGGUAAAUCAGUAAGGUAAGUCCAUAAGGUAAAUCAGAAAGGUAAGUCCAUAAGGUA